UAGGGAAUAUUAGAAAUGGACGAAAGUCUGAUCUAGCAACACCGCGUGUGCGAAGAAGGCCUUCGGGUUGUAAAGCACUUUUUGGAAGGAUUAGGAAGGAAUGUACUUCCAGAAUAAGCCUCGGCUAACUACGUGCCAGCAGCCGCGGUAACACGUAGGAGGCAAACGUUAUCCGGACUUACUGGGCGUAAAGCGCGUGUAGGUGGUUCUGUAAGUAGGGCGUGAAAGCUCCUGGCUCAACUGGGAGAGGCCGUUCUAAACUGCAGAGCUAGAGGAUGGUAGAGGGAGGUGGAAUUCCGGGUGUAGCGGUGGAAUGCGCAGAUAUCCGGAGGAACACCGGUGGCGAAAGCGGCCUCCUGGACCAUUCCUGACACUCAGACGCGAAAGCUAGGGUAGCAAACGG
rnacentral:rRNA from 1 species